CAUUUUCUCUCGUCCUUCAACUCUCUCAGCUCGACCUAGUUAGAACCCGCGAAAAUGAAAAACUCAAACACCAGCCUCUCUCCUUUUCUCUCAACUCUCUCAGAUCUCGAUUCUCACUCUCUCCUUCAUCUUCUCACUCUCUGGAUUCUUCUUGUUUGUCUCUCCUUCUUCCUCUUAGUCUCUACUUCAUCUUUUGCAUCUAGAUUAAUUAAGCUCUCCAGCAACAAAUAGAGCUAUUUUCGAUUCGGAUAUUGGUCUGAGGAUGUUAUGAUUCUUCAGAAAGGCAGGGGCUUAUUGACCAAGUGGCCAUUUAUGUACCAAGGACAUUCUCUUAUUAACCUCUUGGUGCUUUAUUGGAAACAUUUACAUGUUUAAUUGUGUGUAAAAUACCAUGCUGAAUGUUUAUUUUGUGUUGCAUGUAGAGAUGUAAAGUUGUUCUACGGUCACCUUAUUUUUCUGAUUUGGUUGAUGCUUGUUUCACAUUAUUGGCUAUUAAUUACAUAUACUGUAAAAAUUCAUGUACAUGUAUUCAGAAAUUUAAUUCUUCCCAGGUAGCUUUGAUUGUUUUCCUAGCUAGCCCAUAUAGGAAGUUUUGUUCCGGCAGAUGCUGCAACUGUGGGUUUGACUGAUAGAAUAUUCUGUGCAAUGGGAAGCAAGCUCAUGGCUGCAGAACAAUCAACGUUCAUGAUUGAUCUGCAUCAAGUAGGGAUGAUGCUAAGGCAGACAACUUCACGGUCUUUGUGUCUCUUGGAUGAAUUUGGUAAAGGUACUCUUACAGAAGAUGGCGUUGGUCUGCUUGGUGGAACCAUAAACUACUUGGUGUCCUAGGCCAAGAGCUCCUAUGGCUCUCUGACUCUCAAGUAUUCUCAUGGCUCUAUUUUUAGGCUUCCAAUGAGAAGAAUAUGCUUGGAGGAUCUUUAAUGACAAAGCAGCUGAAGGUAAGGCAGAGGAUAAAUAAACAUGUAGGUUUUUCCUAGACAUCACGCAUAUACUUUUCUGCCUUUUAAUUCACUGUUUGGUUCGCAAUCACUUUCUUAUACAUGUGAUGCUUUUGCAUAAUAUUCUAGUUGUUUCAAAGAAAAGGAAACUUGGAAAUCUUCCAGAGCAUAUCUGCUUGGAAGCAAAUUGGCAUAUUAAUGUCUUCAUUGACCUUGAACACAUUUUGGAAACAGUUGAUAGCUUCCUGGAUUGUUCCUAUAGCUGGAUUAUUUCUUUUCUACUGUUUGUAUAAAGCAAGUCCCUAACCAUAGUCACUGCCAGGUAGUUUAAGAAAUUAUGAUUUGUACUCUUGCAUGAGAUGAUGGUGAUUGUGAUAGUAAAAUGAUGGACACAUCUUAUGCGUAACAUACAAUAGCGGAAUAGAUCUAACAUAUAUAUAAUCUUACUGGUUGGCCAUGAAUCACAAGACAGCAAGAAUGUUUUCCUGUGAUGGUAGUCAGUGCACUUGAUGAAUUCACACACUGGAUUUUGGGUUACUCUGUGUCUGUAUACGGUUUUUCUAACUGAGGAAUUGUUAUGUGAUAUGUAUUUACUGAUUUUGUGUUAAAUAUGAUAUAAUCAUUUAUGGUUCCUUCGUUUUGACUAUGCUUAUUUUAAAAAAAUCUAUGCAACAAAACUGCUCGGGGAGAUAUAUUUUCAGGCCAGAGAGUGAUCUUGCUUGAGCACCUUUGUAAGCUUCUGUCAUCAAUUACAUAUGAAAUUAUCUGUAUGACAUAGCCUAAAUGGCAUCAUUUAGUUGUUCUUCUCUCAGCUCUGUGCUCCCAUACAUCUUCAAUCUUCAAGUAGUAUCUUUAUAAUAGUUGUCAUGAAUUAUAUAUUCCUAGUUGUUCCUUUCAUAAAAAGCUUUCUAUGCAAGUUGGGGAAUUAAAUUAUUUAUUACCUUUAUGAUUAAAGUUUGUCUUUGUUUGGCACUUAUUCCUUCUGUGUUUUAAGGUUUGCCUGUUUCAUAUCACAUUUAUUUCCUUGACCACAAAUUGAUAUAGAGAAAUCCCUUCAUCAAUAGCCAUUGCAAUUGUUGAAGGAAAAUUGGACCCCAUAAGUAUGGAGGCCUUUGAUCAUUUCCCUAGUUCCAUUUCUAGACAUCGGUCAGAUCCCAUUAAGAUCAUUUUCUUUUAUUUUGUUAUCAGUAACUUCACUUCUUUUUUUUGCUUUAAA